GACGAACGCUGGCGGCGUGCUUAACACAUGCAAGUCGAACGGAAAGGCCCUGCUUUUGUGGGGUGCUCGAGUGGCGAACGGGUGAGUAACACGUGAGUAACCUGCCCUUGACUUUGGGAUAACUUCAGGAAACUGGGGCUAAUACCGGAUAGGAGCUCCUGCUGCAUGGUGGGGGUUGGAAAGUUUCGGCGGUUGGGGAUGGACUCGCGGCUUAUCAGCUUGUUGGUGGGGUAGUGGCUUACCAAGGCUUUGACGGGUAGCCGGCCUGAGAGGGUGACCGGGCAAUUUUGGGACUGAAAGACGGCCAGCCCCCUGACGGGGGGCGGAGGGGGGAAUUUUGGAAAAUGGGGGGGAGGCUGGAGCCAGCAACCCCGGGGGGGGGAGAGCGGCUUUGGGGUUGAAACCGCCUUUCGCCGGUGAAGAGGGGUGGGGGAGGUUAAUGGGAAAAAAGGCCCCGGCAAAGUCCGUC
rnacentral:rRNA from 1 species